UACUAAGUGUAAUCUUCUCUCCGCUGAUACUGAUUGUUUAAACUCAAAUACUAUAGCACUGGCAGGGACACGAGCAAAUUGUUACUGGCUGCAAAAAGGAUCAGGAAGGCCACAAAAACAGAUUUUUUAAUAUCAGUCUGCAAAUGAUUUUACUCAGACUAGUAAUAAUUAUGUUGGAAAACUAUGGUUUGUCGUUCAAAUAUUGUUUAUCCUUAUAUCCCAUUACAUUUGUGUUUCAAUUUUUUUAUCAGCCCAAAAAUUUUGUAUCAGGUUCAACUUUUUCGGCUUCAAGUUUGUUAUUCAUGAUUGUCAGCCACCAUUCAGCUCCGCUAUCCAAUUGCAUGGUUGGUCACAUAAAAAGGUCUCUACGAAGGUGUCCCCGAGGCUACCUGUUUGCAAUUAUAAUGUGGCCACAAUAUCAUAUAAGCUAAAUGUUCUUCGUACUAGAGGGCCAAGAAGAAUGCAGUGCAACAUGCAAACAAUCCCUGUCUCUGCAAUUCAAGUAGGCGGAAGGGCUCCUACCCCUGCUACAUUUGGUAAUGACCUCGAAGAAUUGUUCCAUUAGUCCUGCCAAGUUACCGGCAUCCAUUUGCAGCACUAGAGAUCCACUUUUUUUAAGAAACAAAAUUCCUAGACGGCAUGAGCAGCUCCAAUGUAGGUGUCUGAACUUCAGAGGACGUGUUACAGUGGCAUCUGUGAAGAAUUUUCAACUGUUAGCUGCUGUUGACGCGUCAAAGAAUGUUCCUGCUGCAGAACAGGAAAAAGUGAUCUUGCAAUUUGGGAAGAUAUGGAAAGACAUAUUUAGCAUGGACUAUCUUUACGCCCUUUCUGCCUUUCAGGCAUUCACAAUCAGUUUAAGCAGCUUUGACAUGAAACCAGCAUGCGAGUACCCAAUUUCUCUUACAAUAAUGGGAUGUAAUUAUGCUUUGAAAAGUCGAGGAGCAUUCAAGAAUUAACUAGGAUUCACAAAACCACAAAUACAGAGGCAGUAAAUAAAAAUGCAGAAACGUAAAAAAUUAACAUAGAGAAUUUUUCGGCCGAAGUCCCAGAAGUUCGCGACCACUUUUAACGCCUAAUCCACUAUUGAGCAUCCAUUAAAAUGGAUAAAGCUCGGUUCCACUAAAAUAGCCAAAAAUCGGCAACAAGAAUACACGACUGUUCCAAGAAAAGUACAAGAACAUAGUCACAAAAACUUAUCUCAACAGGAUCCACGAAGGAAAAUAGGAAUCCAUGAAGAAAUCGACUUAGACCUUUAAAAUCUCUAGAAAACCCGAACUGCUCUCACAAGAAUCACUCGGAUUCUUACAAACCAACUCACCGCAGUACACCACUACAAGAUCUAUGGUUUCACUAGUUUAUAUGUUGAAAUACUCAAAGAAAUCGAACCCUAAUCACAAAGAUGAAGGAGUUCUUCACACACGCACACACAUAGAGAGAGAGAGAGAGAGAGAGAGAGAGAGAGAGACCAAUCAAAACCCAAGAAAAAUCUCUUCCAAAUCUACCAGACGAGGGGUCACGGGGGGCUUAAGUAGCUGGAAGCAUCUAGAAGCAGAUCAAACGGCCAGAAUAACACCACGU
rnacentral:lncRNA from 1 species